rnacentral:tRNA from 2 species
CUGGUUUUAUCUUAGUUGGUAGAGCGCUCCACUGGAAAUGGAGAGGUUCCGGGUUCGAUACCGAAACCAGG